rnacentral:rRNA from 1 species
UACAGAGGGUGCGAGCGUUAAUCGGAAUAACUGGGCGUAAAGGGCGCGUAGGCGGUCGGGUAAGUGAGAUGUGAAAGCUCUGGGCUCAACCCAGGAAUUGCAUUUCAUACUGCUCGACUUGAGUUCGGUAGAGGAGGGCGGAAUUCCAGGUGUAGCGGUGAAAUGCGUAGAUAUCUGGAGGAACACCCGUGGCGAAGGCGGCUCUCUGGUCCGAUACUGACGCUGAGGCGCGAAAGCUAGGGUAGCAAACAGG